AUUGAACGCUGGCGGCAGGCUUAACACAUGCAAGUCGAGCGAGCGGCGGACGGGUGAGUAAUGUCUGGGAAACUGCCUGAUGGAGGGGGAUAAAUUCUGGAAACGGUAUCUAAUACCGUAUACCAUCAGAUGUGCCCAGAUGGGAUUAGCUAGUAUGUGGGGUAAUGGCACACCUAGGCGACGACCCCUAGCUGGUCUGAGAGGAUGACCAGCCACACUGGAACUGAGACACGGUCCAGUCUCCUACGGGAGGCAGAAGUGGGGAAUAUUGCACAAUGGGCGCAAGCCUGAUGCAGCCAUGCCGCGUGUGUGAAGAAGGCCUUCGGGGUGUAAAGCACUUUCAGCGAGGAGGCGUUACUCGCAGAAGAAGCACCGGCUAACUCCGUGCCAGCAGCCGCGGUAAUAC
rnacentral:rRNA from 1 species